rnacentral:SRP_RNA from 1 species
GCUGGGCGUGGUGGCGCAUGUCUGUAAUCCCAGCUACUCAGGAGGCUGAGGCAGGAGAAUUACUUGGACCCGGGAGGCGGAGGUUGCAGUGAGCCGAGAUUGUGCCACUGCACUCCAGCCUGGGUGACAGAGUGAGACUUUGUCUCAC